AGACAUGCCCUGUAAGGACAUGAAGAGGAAACGGUGACAAAAGGAGCUAUGUGCCUCACACAGCUGGAUUAAAAAGAGCACAGAUGGACAGCAAGUGGAGAGUGAUAGAUGAGAUGAGGAGAUGGAAGCAGGAAGACAGGCAAAGAUCUCAGAUCAACACAGCCCUGCC